GAACGCGAAGAACCUUACCUGGCCUUGAACAUAGUAGAGACUUUCCAGAGAUGGAUUGGUGCCUUCGGGAAUCUACAUACAGGUGCUGCAUGGCUGUCGUCAGCUCGUGUCGUGAGAUGUUGGGUUAAGUCCCGCAACGAGCGCAACCCUUUUCCUUACUUGCCAGCAUUUCGGAUGGGAACUUUAAGGAUACUGCCAGUGACAAACUGGAGGAAGGCGGGGACGACGUCAAGUCAUCAUGGCCCUUACGGCCAGGGCUACACACGUGCUACAAUGGUCGGUACAAAGGGUUGCUACACAGCGAUGUGAUGCUAAUCUCAAAAAGCCGAUCGUAGUCCGGAUCGCAGUCUGCAACUCGACUGCGUGAAGUCGGAAUCGCUAGUAAUCGCAGGUCAGCAUACUGCGGUGAAUACGUUCCCGGGUCUUGUACACACC
rnacentral:rRNA from 1 species